rnacentral:ribozyme from 1 species
AAAAGUUUUGUGGCCCUGCAACGGGAUGAUAUCUGAAGCCUCCUGAAUAUUCCAUCCAACACCUAUUCCGACACGUCCACGUGUCGUGCAUGGUGGUAUCAUGGGCCCAGGUCCUGCCAUUCGAUUGGAUGAAGGCUUAUGGCUAAGAAGGAGGGG